UACGGAGGGUGCAAGCGUUAUCCGGAUUCACUGGGUUUAAAGGGUGCGUAGGUGGGCAGGAAAGUCAGUGGUGAAAUCUCCGGGCUUAACCCGGAAACUGCCGUUGAUACUAUUUGUCUUGAAUACUGUGGAGGUAAGCGGAAUAUGUCAUGUAGCGGUGAAAUGCUUAGAUAUGACAUAGAACACCAAUUGCGAAGGCAGCUUACUACACAAUGAUUGACGCUGAGGCACGAAAGCGUGGGGAGCAAACAGG
rnacentral:rRNA from 1 species